ACUAACCUGCUAAAUUAGUAACCCAGCACUGAUUACGCUGGCACUCUC
rnacentral:tRNA from 1 species